AAAAUAAUACAAGCUUUAUAUUACAAGCCAGGGGCCUCGAGGGCUCGAAUACAUAGCUCGAUACACAAGAGAGUCAGCGCAAGCAACAAUAUCUGAGUACAGACAUAAGUUAAACAAGUUUUUGCCUUAAGAAGGCUAGCACAAAAGCAACAACGAUCGAAGAGGCAAGGCCUCCUGCCUGGGACCUCCUAACUACUCCUGGUCGUCGAUGAUCUUCACGUAGCAGCAUCCAUCGGCGGUGGCAUCUGGCUCUAGGGAUCCACCAUCUGGUUGCAACAACCAGAAAGAAGAAAGAAGGAGGGAAAGGGGGAGCAAAGCAACUGUGAGUACUCAUCCAAAGUACUCGCAAGCAUCAGAUCUAUACUAAGUAUGCAUUGGUAUCAAAUGGAAGGUUUGUAUCUGUGGACUGAACUGCAGAAUGCCAGAAUAGAGGGGGAGGGCCUAGCCUAUCGAAGACUAGCAUCUUCACGCAGCUCCGAGGAUCUUGCAGCAUGUAGAAGAGUAAAGAAUAGCAGUUUAUAAUUAACAAGCAUGUUGUAACAUUAAUGCCCAGAGAUCCUUCCUCGACUCCCUGCGAGAAAGCAAUCCCGGAGCCACAUAUCUCAAGUAUCCAUUUGUAGUUGUAUAAGAUCAGGAUAUAAGUCUAAACGUCCGUUACCGUGGACACGACUAUUAAUAGAUAAUCUUCCCUGCAGGUGUGCACCACGUUUUCCAACACGCUCGAUCACGUUGGCCGGACACACCUUUCUGGGGUCAAUGCCCAGCCUCAGAAGAUCAACACGUCGCAGCCCUACCUAGGCUCAGCAGAGAGGUCCCCGCCGGUCUACCUCCUAAGCACUCCGGGGUCUGGGCCCAUCGCCCGUUCCACUCCGGGUCAUUGUGCGACGAGUUGGGACGAGCACCACCUCAUACUGGAUGGGACUGGCCCGACAGGCCCACAAUGCUGAACUGGACGUCCGACAAAGCUUCGGCUGAUACUGCGACGUCGAGGCCCAUAACUAUUCUCGCGUGGUGGUUGGUGCGUAAAGGCCAGAGGCCAACUCAGAACAAAUACCCAAACCUGUUAGUGCAUUAUUAACAAGAGUGACGGCUGUCGGGACAAGUCCGGAGCUAUCACCCCCUCCCGGGUGAUACCGCUAAACAGCCAGCCGCCACUGUCACAUCGCACGGGUGCUCUCCGGGCCCGCCCGGCCUUCACAACGGUCUCCAGUAAAGUCAAGGUAACUGUGUGUCCAGACAUCAAGGGGAAAACCCAAGGAAUCACCCUCGGAGGAUUCCACUCGAUGUAAUCAUCAAGGUGAACGUAAGAGGGACCACCCUCGAGGUUCACACUUGAGGUGUUGAACGACAGAGUCGUAUCGGUAAUGGUGAAAGAGGAAAUCACCCUCGAUGACCACGACGAAUAGCUACACUACAGAAUUAUCAUCAGGAGUGCGUUAUGAGGGAGCACCCUCGGCACUCGAUAGUUGCUCUGCAGAGUCGAGCAACUAAAGGGGCGUGAUGUGAUGUGAGGUGUCGGGCUCUGGUCGUCGAUCACGUCGAUCGAGGCGUCGAUGAUGAAGCAGGGGCAACAAGGACAAGUGGGGGUCAUUGAUGGAUUACUAUCCAACCUAUACUAAGCAGUUUAGGAUAAACAUGUAGGUAACAAUAAGCAGGUACAAAAGCAGGCUAUGCAUCAGAAUAGGAGCAAACAAUAAAAGUAGCAAAAUCUAAUGCAAGCAUGAGAGUAUAGAAUGGGCAAUAUCGGGAUGAUCAAAGGGGGGGCUUGCCUGGUUGCUCAGACAAGAAGAAGGGUCAUCGUCGACGUAGUCGAUCACAGGGACAUCAGCAUCGGUCUCAGGGUCUACCGGAGAGAAGAGGGGGGAGAAACAGUAAAUACAUAGCAG
rnacentral:lncRNA from 1 species